GCGGGGCCCGAGCACUGAGGGAAGCUGUACCUCCUUGCAAAGGACUAGAGGUUAGAGGAGACCCCCCGCAAACAAAAACAGCAUAUUG
rnacentral:lncRNA from 1 species